GUCUCCUUAGCUCAGCUGGAUAGAGCAACGGCCUUCUAAGCCGUAGGUCACAGGUUCGAAUCCUGUAGGGGACGCCA
rnacentral:tRNA from 34 species